UACAGAGGGUGCAAGCGUUAAUCGGAAUUACUGGGCGUAAAGCGCGCGUAGGUGGUUUGUUAAGUUGAAUGUGAAAUCCCCGGGCUCAACCUGGGAACUGCAUGCAAAACUGGCAAGCUAGAGUAUGGUAGAGGGUGGUGGAAUUUCCUGUGUAGCGGUGAAAUGCGUAGAUAUAGGAAGGAACACCAGUGGCGAAGGCGACCACCUGGACUGAUACUGACACUGAGGUGCGAAAGCGUGGGGAGCGAACAGGA
rnacentral:rRNA from 1 species